AGCAAAGGCUGAAAAGUUGGCCUGAGAGCCCGCAAGGUUUUAUUCUCCUUCUUCAGAAAAAGCUGUGCUUUUUCUGUGCUUGAGGGUUAGGGUAACCUGAUCUGAUCUGAGUUCUAUGAAAAUGUUGCAUCAAGAAUGGAGGUGAAGGCCAGGUGCGGUGGCUCACAUCUGUAAUCCCAGCACUUUGGGAAGCCGAGGCGGGUGGAUCACCUGAGGUCAGAAGUUUGAGACCAGCCUGGCCAACAUGGUGAAACCCCGUCUCUACUAAAAAUACAAAAAUUAGCCGGGCAUGGUGGCAGGCGCCUGUAAUCCCAGCUACUCGGGAGGCUGAGGCACAAGAAGAAUUGCUUGAACCUGGGAGGUGGAGGUUGCAGUCAGCAGAGAUCACGCCAUUGCACUCCAGCCUGGGCAACAGAGCAAGACUCCAUCUCAAAAAAAAAUGGAGAUGAAGAAAAGAGAUCAGGCAAUGAUGUUCAGACAGUGUAAAAGGGAACUAGCAAAACGUGGUGGGGCUACGGCAGGUGCACAGAGGCUGAACUCAGGCCCUGGAGGAUGGGAGGAGGGCAGUGGAGGUGCACAGCCCUCCGGGCGCCAUUGGAAGUGUGGGCUGGGGCUGCCCAAAGCCGCUGCCAAGCCCAUGGGUGGGGGGCAAAGAGCCCCCCUGCUCUCAGCGCACCCCGGGUGGUCUGGCCACUUGCUACCAUAUAGUCCACCAGAAACAGGACGAUGACCACACAGGUGGGGUGAAGGAUUGUUUUGUGGAGUAUAUUGUAUUUUAAAACAACUUUUAUUGAUCCAAAAGUGAUAUUCUGUUGAGGAUCAAUAGCAGAUAGAAGGCAAAAUGUAGUUCGUAUCAGCUGAAGCCUCUCCAUGUGAAAUCCACAUGAAUAGGUGGAUUCUCUGGUAAACGUGGAGGUUUUAAGAAAGCUGCUAUGGACCAGGCUCCGUCAUGGAGCCCUCUGGCUUUCUGCUGUCACCCCAAGGAGUCCUCAGGAGAAUUCAGUUGUGGGGACAUAAUGAUAUUUGCACACUAGUUUCCUAAAUUAUUUUCUUCUUCCAUUUUGUUGCUGUCUUUCUAUCACACGCUGGAAGGCAGCAAGUUAAGCAAAGGCACAGGGCCACUGAGAAACCGAACCCGCUGCCAUCAGGCCGCUGCCUCUGCCUCAUUUGAAAAGGCUGGUACACAGUGAAAAAAAUAAUGCUUUGGAGUAAUGAUGACUUUGAGGGGCACUGAAGGACACCAUGCUGCUCAGCAGAAGAGCUGGGCCUGAGGGUGACACAUGGGGGUGCCGGCCCGAUCAGCACCAGAAUCAAGUGUAGCAGUGCCUGAACACCAUGGACCUGCCUUGGGGCCUAGGAACUCCUCCGGGUACAUCCGCCUCUCCGCCCCUCCCCUCACUGCUCACCCGAACUCCAGCGCUCUCCCGAAACGGCUCCACCUUGCUGUGCUGGCCCACAGGUGAUGGCUGCCCCACUAGCUCCCACACGGACAUGACACAGCACUCAGGGAACCUGCAUGCAGCUCAGCACUGACAGGGCGCCCUCCCAGGGACAUACUUCCUGAGUGCUUAUGCUAAGAUGCUGUGGCAAGGGCGGCCAGGACAGCAUGACCCAGUCCACAGCCAGGCCACAAUGCCCUGCACGGAUUCCUCCUGCAUCCUGGAUGCUCCGUGCAGGGCUGCUGGCCUGGCCCUCAGACACUACCCAGGAGGCCAUGUGUGUGCGUGUACAAGUAUGCACCCAUGUGUGGAUGUAGGUGCAAUGUGUGUGCAAGCAUGUGAGCACAGGUUCACAUAUACACGUAUGUAUACAUGCACAUGCAUGAGCAUGCACGCAUGUGUGUAUGUGCAGGAGUACUGUGUGUGUGCGUGCACGUGUGUGAACACGUGUUCAUAUAUACACAUAUGCAAACAUGCACACACACGAGCAUGCACCCAUGUGUGUAUGUGCAGGUGUACUCUGUGUACAUGUGUACACAUGUGAGCACGUGUUCAUAUAUACAUAUAUGCAUACACACAUUCAAGGCUUCCUCCUGCAGUGCCUCAGGACCCCAAGCAGGAGUAAAAACUUCAAUCACCUGCAGUUUGAUCUUCACAAUAAAAAACCAUCUGACUGA